rnacentral:lncRNA from 1 species
UAACUUACAAAUCAACUUCUUCUCUUAUUCUCAAAUCAAUGAAAUCAAAUUCUUUAAAUUAUUAGGUCUAUAAAAUGAUACAAUUAUGGGAUAACUUGUUCAUAGCCUCCUAUUAAGGUGCGUGAUAAUGAGUUCAAUAUUUCAAAUAAGUAUUGGAGGCACCACAUGCCUGGUGUCUAUUACGUAUUGAAAUUAUCAUUCAUCAUAUGACCAUUCUGUUGUACUUUUAGAUUAAUGCUCAGGUUGGCUGAGCCACACUCAGAUCUGGACAUUCAUUUGUUAGAUGCACUUGAUAUUGCCAUGUUAAUGGUUGGACCUAACUAAGAUUUUCAGUGAAGGCG